UCGAGUCUUUGAACGCAAGUUGCGCCCGAGGCCAGCCGGCCGAGGGCACGUCCGCCUGGGCGUCAAGCGUCGCGUCGCUCCGUGCCAAGCCCGCACCGAUGGUGCGUCGGGGAGGCUCGGACGUGCAGGGUGGCUCGUCGUGCCCGUGGGCGCG
rnacentral:rRNA from 1 species